GCUUAUUACCAUUCCAGAUUGAAUAUACCCGAUUUUGUUUGAUUUCGGAAGUCAAGCAAUUUCGGGCUUGGUUAGUACUUGGAUGGGUGACCGCUUGGGAAUAACCAAGUGUGAUAAGCA
rfam:Ciona savignyi cont_37057, whole genome shotgun sequence.